rnacentral:lncRNA from 1 species
CCUCCAAUGUUUCUACUUCUCCUUUUGCUAGGUUUUUAUUUAAACUAUUUGACGUAUGAUUAAAGCCGUCCCAGAAUGGAGCAAGGUCCCAUCUGGAAAUGUUGAGCCCUAGUACUAGUAUCACGGGAAAAAGCCAUAUGAGGACACAACUGUUGGACAGCGCUCUGCAAACCAGGAAGAGGACUCUCACCUGACCUCAGAUGUGCCGGUGCCUGGAUCUUGGACUUCUCAGCCUCCGGAACUAACCCUCAACUAGCCCAGCUGUCUGACAGAGCUUGCUCAUUUAAACCUCAAGCCAAUUAGCACCAAUUUUCAAUCAGUUAUGGAGAAGAUCCACUCAAGCCUCAAGUAGUCAAAGAAGCGUUUGGUGCUGGUGUCUCUAGGAAGACUGCAUCUCUCCACCCUGGAACAUGCCC